GGCCGCCGCGCCUGCCCGGCCCCGGCGCACAAAGGCUUCAUAUAUUCUGAAUGAAGGCGAAUCGCAGCCUCGGCCUCCUUGAAAAGAGCCGUGAGGGAGACUUAAUUCUCUCCUUUUCAGCUGUGCUCAGACUGUGAAAUCCACACAAUCGCGCCCUUCUCUUUAAAGGGAGGGAGAAGAGGGGCCGCGGCCGCGCGCCCCGCCAUCAGCUGCGCGCACAGAGGGAGAGUUCACUCCGGGGACAAGGGCGGCGCGGCCGGCCCCGGGCUCUUGGGCAGCCGCGUUUCCCAUCCCACCGGCUGCAGCCCCCUUCUCCCGCGGCACUUCCCGGCGUCUUUUGUGGGGUCUCAAUCAGAUUUCCAUCAAUGGGGAGUUUCAAUGAUAGUAAAAAAGGCAUGGACAGAAACAAGAUUCUGACAUCACACACCCUUCCUGAGGAGGAAGACUGCAAGAUAUUAACAGGCAAAUAUGGUACCAUGUUGAGACGCCUGGGGAUGCAAAUGAAAGCGCUUUUCUGAAGACUUUGUUGCCUUCAAAGGCAGGGAGAACCGUCUCAACCAUCACAGGUGAGUUAAGCGCAAAUAAAACUCAUUAUUGAAGGCAACAGCAGGAGUUCAGAAAAGUCAUGUAGAAGAAGUGGGGCUUUGAUUGUGAAAUUCUUUGGUCCUCAAAGGCCAGGAACGUUACAUUUCCUCUUCAUUUUGCUCACAAAGAGAUGGAAGUAGGAGUCAGGAGCUCUUGGAGAGAGUCUGGCACGGGUAGGUACCAGUGUGUCCAUUUUACAGAUGAGGAAAUGGAGGCAAUUAAAGAAAAAAACAGGUCGGCCACAUAGCUAAGUAUAGGUCCAAAAGUGACUUUAUUUUAAAUGCUCAUUUGCCUGACUAACCCUGAGUCUGGGAAU
rnacentral:lncRNA from 1 species